rnacentral:rRNA from 1 species
GACGAACGCUGGCGGCGUGCCUAAUACAUGCAAGUCGAACGCAGUGGGGACGGGUGAGUAACACGUGGGUAACCUCCCAUCAGAGGGGAUAACACUUGGAAACAGGUGCUAAACCGAUACUGAUGGAUGGACCCGCGGUGCAUUAGCUAGUUGGUGAGGUAACGGCUCACCAAGGCCACGAUGCAUAGGCGGCCGUAGGGGGUGUUCGGCCAAACUGGGACUGAGACACGGGCCAGACUCCUACGGGAGGCAGCAGUAGGGAAUCUUCGGCAAUGGACGAAAGUCUGACCGAGCAACGCCGCGGGGGUGAAGAAGGUUUUCGGGUCGGAAAAAUCUGGUGUUUGAGGAACGGUAUCUAACCAGAAAGCCACGGCUAACUACGUGCCAGCAGCCGCGGUAAUAC